CAUUUUGUGUGUGUGCGCGAUAAAAUGCAUAUCAAUAUGAUUAGAUUGUAGAAUUCUAAUGAUAAAAUAUAGCCAAAGGACAUCUUUCCACUGAGGUCAGUUUUCUUUAUAAGCAUCAAACACAUCUAUUCAAGGCCCAAUAAAAUUCUUUUCUUUUACAGCUCCUGGGGACAGAGAACACAGCACAUUGUAACAACAGCAAUAGACUCAGCCAUGAGAGAUCUUUAUCAGGCAUCACAAAGAAUUUGAGGCAGCUGGCAGUUAUCAGCUGAAACAGGUAGUCAGUAGAAGUAUAGAAGAUAAAUAGAUAAUAGAAAAGCAAUCUGGAAACCUGGGAGAGAUAAUAAACCACUCUUCUAAAGGGGAGGUAACAACUUAGCUCUCUGAGGUGGAGGCAUCCCUGUAGGAGAUAUAAACAAAGGAAAGUCUUAGAGUCUCUUUCUGUUCACAUUCCCUAAUGUGCAUAAAAAGGGACAUCCUUCAUUAGCUUGUUGCGAUCAAAAGUGAAUUCAGUGCUCCGAAGGUCAAGAGAUGAAGAUGGCUGUUCUGCACAGCUCUCCUCUGGGAUAGUAACAUUUUACCAAAGUGGGUAAAACCUAACAAUAAAUAUUGUGUUAUGAUGAGUGUUUUUGCUUGGUUCAGAAAUAAAACUCCUCAACAUAUCUUGUAUUUUAUUCUUUACCGAUUAGGUCAAAAAUAUAGUUGUGCAAUUUACUGUCUCCAGGUACUUCCUGUCAUUCCUCUAUAGAGCUACAGUAGAC
rnacentral:lncRNA from 1 species